rnacentral:misc_RNA from 1 species
GAUGAAGAACGUAGCGAAAUGCGAUAAGUAGUGUGAAUUGCAGAAUUCAGUGAAUCAUCGAAUCUUUGAACGCACAUUGCGCCCUCUGGUAUUCCGGGGGGCAUGCCUGUUCGAGCGUCAUUAUAACCACUCAAGCUUUCGCUUGGUAUUGGGGCUCGCGGUUCCGCGGCCCCUAAAAUCAGUGGCGGUGCCUGUCGGCUCUACGCGUAGUAAUACUCCUCGCGAUUGAGUCCGGUAGGUCUACUUGCCAGCAACCCCCAAUUUUUACAGGUUGACCUCGGAUCAGGUAGGGAUACCCGCUGAACUUAAGCAUAUCAAUAAGCGGAGGA